rnacentral:rRNA from 1 species
GAGCAUGCCGGGCGGCCUACCAUGCAAGUCGAGCGGCAACGGGAAGUACCUUGCUACUUUGCCGGCGAGCGGCGGACGGGUGAGUAAUGUCUGGGAAACUGCCUGAUGGAGGGGGAUAACUACUGGAAACGGUAUCUAAUACCGCAUAAUGUCGCAAGACCAAAGAGGGGGACCUUCGGGCCUCUUGCCAUCAGAGUGUGCCCAGAUUGGAUUAGGCUAGGUAAGUUGGGUUAACGGCUCACCUAGGCGACGAUCCCUAGGCUGGUCUGAGAGGCAUGACCAGCCACACCUGGAACUGAGACACGGUCCAGACUCCUACGGGAGGCAGCAGUGGGGAAUAUUGCACAAUGGGCGCAAGCCUGAUGCAGCCAUGCCGCGUGUAUGAAGAAGGCCUUCGGGUUGUAAAGUACUUUCAGCGGGGAGGAAGGUGUUGAGGUUAAUAACCUCAGCAAUUGACGUUACCCGCAGAAGAAGCACCGGCUAACUCCGUGCCAGCAGCCGCGGUAAUACGGAGGGUGCAAGCGUUAAUCGGAAUUACUGGGCGUAAAGCGCACGCAGGCGGUCUGUCAAGUCGGAUGUGAAAUCCCCCGGGCUCAACCUGGGAACUGCAUUCGAAACUGGCAGGCUAGAGUCUUGUAGAGGGGGGUAGAAUUCCGGGUGUAGCGGUGAAAUGCGUAGAGAUCUGGAGGAAUACCGGUGGCGAGGGCGGCCCCCUGGACAAAGACUGACGCUCAGGUGCGAAAGCGUGGGGAGCAAAGGGGGAUUAUAUACCCUGGUAGUCCACGCCGUAAACGAUGUCGACUUGGAGGUUGUGCCCUUGAGGCGUGGCCUUCCGGAGCUAACGCGUUAAGUCGACCGCCUGGGGGAGUACGGCGCGGGGGGUUAGAACAUCAUAUUAUAUUUACAGGGGGGCCGCACCCGCGGGUGGAGCGUGUGGUUUUUUUUUAUUUCAACGCGAGGAACCAUUACCCUACUUCUUGACCUCCAGAAGGACUUACCAGAGAUGGUACAUUGGGUUUUUUCCGGGAGCUCUGAAAGACCAAGGUGCUGCAGGGGGGUUUGAUCGCUCACCCCCGCUCGUCCAGUUGUGAAAUGAUAUGGGUUAAGUCACCGCAGACGAGACUUCUAACACACUUUUCCUUUGUUGCUCCGCCCGGGUUCGGCCGCGAGAAACUCUAUGAUAGACCCGCCGGUGACUUAAGACUGGAGUAUAGGUGGUGAUGACGUUAAGUCAUCAUGGCCCUUGCGGUGUGGGGCUCUUCACACGUGCUACAAUGGCGCAUACAAAUCGAAGCGUGGUCGCUGGGAGCAGGUCGGACACUCAUCAACUAGUAUCGAAUAUACGUAGUCCGGAUUGGAGUCUGCAACAUGCGACGUCCAUGAAGUCGGAAUCGCUAGUAAUCGUAGAUCAGAAUGUUACGGUGAAUACGUUCCCGGGCCUUGUACACACCGCCCGUCACACCAUGGGAGUGGGUUGCAAAAGAAGUAGGUAGCUUAACCUUCGGGAGGGCGCUUACCACUUUUGAUUCAAUGGA